GCCGGGCAUGGUGGCGGGUGCCUGUAGUCCCAGCUACUCUGGAGGCUGAGGCAGGAGAAUGGCUUGAACCCAGGAGGCAGAGCUUGCAGUGAGCCGAGAUCGUGCCACUGCACUCUAGCCUGGGUGACAGAGCGAGACUCCGCCUCAA
ensembl:misc_RNA Metazoa_SRP Metazoan signal recognition particle RNA